UACAGAGGGUGCGAGCGUUAAUCGGAUUUAUUGGGCGUAAAGCGCACGUAGGCGGCUUUUUAAGUCGGAUGUGAAAUCCCUGAGCUCAACUUAGGAAUUGCAUUCGAUACUGGGAAGCUAGAGUAUGGGAGAGGAUGGUAGAAUUCCAGGUGUAGCGGUGAAAUGCGUAGAGAUCUGGAGGAAUACCGAUGGCGAAGGCAGCCAUCUGGCCUAAUACUGACGCUGAGGUGCGAAAGCAUGGGGAGCAAACAGG
rnacentral:rRNA from 1 species